rnacentral:tRNA from 1 species
AAUUAGAAAGUGAAAAAUCACAUUUAGUUUCGGCCUAAAAAUUGACUGUUCAAGUCUCUAAUUU